GGAGGCGCAGCUACCAUGCAGUCGAACGCUGAAGCCUGGUGCUUGCCCGGGUGGAUGAGUGGCGAACGGGUGAGUAAUACGUGAGUGACCUGCCUUUGACUCUGGGAUAAGCCUGGGAAACUGGGUCUAAUACCGGAUGCGACUACUGCCCGCAUGGGCUGGUGGUGGAAAGGGUUAUGUACUGGUCUUAGAUGGGCUCACGGCCUAUCAGCUGGUUGGUGGGGUAAUGGCCUACCAAGGCGACGACGGGUAGCCGGCCUGAGAGGGUGACCGGCCACACUGGGACUGAGACACGGCCCAGACUCCUACGGGAGGCAGCAGUGGGGAAUAUUGCACAAUGGGCGCAAGCCUGAUGCAGCGACGCCGCGUGAGGGAUGACGGCCUUCGGGUUGUAAACCUCUUUCAGCAGGGAAGAAGCGGAAGUGACGGUACCUGCAGAAGAAGCGCCGGCUAACUACGUGCCAGCAGCCGCGGUAAUACGUAGGGCGCAAGCGUUGUCCGGAAUUAUUGGGCGUAAAGAGCUCGUAGGCGGCUUGUCGCGUCUGCUGUGAAAGCCCGGGGCUUAACUCCGGGUGUGCAGUGGGUACGGGCAGGCUAGAGUGCAGUAGGGGUAACUGGAAUUCCUGGUGUAGCGGUGAAAUGCGCAGAUAUCAGGAGGAACACCGAUGGCGAAGGCAGGUUACUGGGCUGUUACUGACGCUGAGGAGCGAAAGCAUGGGGAGCGAACAGGAUUAGAUACCCUGGUAGUCCAUGCCGUAAACGUUGGGCACUAGGUGUGGGGGACAUUCCACGUUUUCCGCGCCGUAGCUAACGCAUUAAGUGCCCCGCCUGGGGAGUACGGCCGCACGCUAAACUCAAGGGAUUUGACGGGGGUCCCGCACAAGCAGGCGGAGCAUGCGGAUCAUUCGAUUCACGCGAGACCUUACCAAGGCUUGACUCCCCGGAUCGUCCGGAGAUGGUCUGCCUUUCGGCUUGUGUACUGUGGUAGCAUGCUGUCGUCAGCUCCUGUCGUGAGAUGUGAGUUAGUACGCCACGAGCGCACCCAUCGUCUAUGAUGUCCACUCUUGACGGCGGUGACC
rnacentral:rRNA from 1 species